rnacentral:rRNA from 1 species
UACGUAGGGUGCGAGCGUUAAUCGGAAUUACUGGGCGUAAAGCGUGCGUAGGUGGUUUGUUAAGUCUGUUGUGAAAGCCCCGGGCUCAACCUGGGAACUGCAUUCGAUACUGCCGAGCUAGAGUGUGGGAGAGGGUAGUGGAAUUCCCGGUGUAGCGGUGAAAUGCGUAGAUAUCGGGAGGAACAUCAGUGGCGAAGGCGACUGCCUGGCCCAACACUGACGCUGAGGCACGAAGGUCAGGGGAGCAAACGGG